rnacentral:rRNA from 1 species
UACGAGAGGCCCAAACGUUAUUCGGAUUUACUGGGCUUAAAGAGUUCGUAGGCGGCGCAGAAAGUAGGGUGUGAAAGCCCUCGGCUCAACCGAGGAAUUGCGCCCUAAACUACUGUGCUCGAGGGACCUAGAGGUGAGCAGAACUGAUGGUGGAGCGGUGAAAUGCGCAGAUAUCGGGAGGAACACCAAUGGCGAAGGCAGCUUGCUGGGACGGUACUGACGCUGAGGCGCGAAAGCGUGGGGAGCAAACAGG